AGUCCAUGAUGAGGACACAACAGUAAUAAUUCUUUGAAUCUAUCCCAUGUGGCAGAUAAAGACUCUCCAUUUUUUGGAGCAAAAUUAGUGAUUUGAUUUCUAAGCU